rnacentral:rRNA from 1 species
AUACGUAGGGGGCGAGCGUUGUCCGGAAUGAUUGGGCGUAAAGGGCGCGUAGGCGGCGCGGUAAGUCUGGAGUGAAAGUCCUGCUUUCAAGGUGGGAAUUGCUUUGGAUACUGCCGCGCUUGAGUGCAGGAGAGGUUAUCGGAAUUCCCGGUGUAGCGGUGAAAUGCGUAGAGAUCGGGAGGAACACCAGUGGCGAAGGCGGGUAACUGGACUGCAACUGACGCUGAGGCGCGAAAGUGUGGGGAGCAAACAGGAUUAGAUACCCUGGUAGUCCACACUGUAAACGAUGAAUGCUAGGUGUAAGAGGUAUCGACCCCUUUUGUGCCGGAGUCAACACAAUAAGCAUUCCGCCUGGGGAGUACGGCCGCAAGGUUGAAACUCAAAGGAAAUGACGGGG